rnacentral:rRNA from 1 species
UCCUACGGGGCGCAGCAGUGAGGAAUAUUGGUCAAUGGUCGGGAGACUGAACCAGCCAAGCCGCGUGAGGGAGGAAGGUACAGAGUAUCGUAAACCUCUUUUGUCAGGGAACAAAGGCGGGGACGUGUCCCCGGAUGAGUGUACCUGAAGAAAAAGCAUCGGCUAACUCCGUGCCAGCAGCCGCGGUAAUACGUAGGGGGCAAGCGUUAUCCGGAUUUACUGGGUGUAAAGGGGGCGCAGACGGCGAUGCAAGCCAGGAGUGAAAGCCCGGGGCCCAACCCCGGGACUGCUCUUGGAACUGCGUG